rnacentral:lncRNA from 1 species
UUUUUUCCAGCCGACACCAGGGCCCGCCCCAGGGAGGAACCCCUAUUUCUUGUCAUCUCCAGCUACACACCAGGGAUUUUUUUUGAGGGGAUUGGCUUCUUCCUCACAGCAGUGGGCAGAGACCCACGGUCUCCGGUCCCUUUUCCUUCCCACUGAUUUCAGCCAUCUUCAGCUCCUUCUCCCCUGCACCCACAACGCUGAUCUUCCCCUAUUUCCUAUCAUUUUCAGCUGACAGCACCCACCUUUGGUUUUUUUAUCUUCUCCUCACAGCUCCUUCCCCACAAACCGGCUCCAGCCCCCCUCCAGAAUUAUUUUUCUCUUCUCCCUCAACCAGGACAGCCGGCUGGUUCCACCAUUUCCUGCCCCUCUUCACAGCUUCCUCAGCCCUUGCACACCCACACUCCCCUCUCUUUCAGACCAAACAAGCCCCACCACAUCGUCAGUUUCCCAGCCGACCAAGCCUUCCCUCAACAAAGGAGAAGCAGACCAUACCACAUCGCCUCAGCCCUUGCCCAACCGCCGUUCACUAUCCUCCCUCUCAGCUGCUCCCCACGAGUUCGCCUCUCUCCCAGUCGACUCCUUUCUCAGCCCUCAACAGCGACGGCCACCGACCACCAGGAGUCGCCCCUGUCACCAUCGCCAUUCCUUCCAGCCCGCACGCGAAGAAGCUUCGUUCAUCAGCGCAGAUCGGCCUCCAACA